CCUACGGGAGGCAGCAGUGAGGAAUAUUGGUCAAUGGACGAGAGUCUAAACCAGCCAAGUAGCGUGAAGGAUGACUGCCCUAUGGGUUGUAAACUUCUUUUAUAAAGGAAUAAAACGAGGCACGUGUGCCUUUUUGCAUGUACUUUAUGAAUAAGGAUCGGCUAACUCCGUGCCAGCAGCCGCGGUAAUACGGAGGAUCCGAGCGUUAUCCGGAUUUAUUGGGUUUAAAGGGAGCGUAGAUGGGUUUUUAAGUCAGUUGUGAAAGUUUGUGGCUCAACCGUAAAAUUGCAUUUGAUACUGGAAGUCUUGAGUACAUUUGAGGUAGGCGGAAUGCGUGGUGUAGCGGUGAAAUGCUUAGAUAUCACGAAGAACCCCGAUUGCGAAGGCAGCUUACUAAGCUGUAACUGACAUUGAUGCUCGAAAGUGUGGGUAUCAAACAGGAUUAGAUACCCUUGUAGUC
rnacentral:rRNA from 1 species